GGGAUGGGCAUGCGGCGCAUUAGGAAGACGGCGGUGUGACGGACCACCGUUCCGACGAUGCGUAGGGGUUCUGAGAGGAAGGCCCCCCACACUGGUACUGAGACACGGACCAGACUCCUACGGGAGGCAGCAGUGAGGAAUAUUGGUCAAUGGCCGGAAGGCUGAACCAGCCAAGCCGCGUGAGGGAGGAAGGCGCAGAGCGUCGCAGACCUCUUUUGCCGGGGGACAAAAGGCCGGACUCGUCCGGUCCUGAGGGUACCCGGAGAAAAAGCAUCGGCUAACUCCGUGCCAGCAGCCGCGGUAAUACGGAGGAUGCGAGCGUUAUCCGGAUUCAUUGGGUUUAAAGGGUGCGCAGGCGGGCCUUUAAGCCGGCGGUGAAAUCGCGGGGCUCAACCCCGCCGAGCCGUCGGAACUGGGGGCCUUGAGUGCGGCGGAGGCAUGCGGAAUGCGCGGUGUAGCGGUGAAAUGCAUAGAUAUCGCGCAGAACCCCGAUUGCGAAGGCAGCGUGCCGUGCCGCCACUGACGCUGAGGCACGAAAGCGCGGGGAUCGAACAGGAUUAGAUACCCUGGUAGUCCGCGCCGUAAACGAUGGAUGCUGGGUGUCCGGGGCGUUCAGGCCCUGGGUGCCGGAGCGAAAGCGGUAAGCAUCCCACCUGGGGAGUACGCCGGCAACGGUGAAACUCAAAGGAAUUGACGGGGGCCCGCACAAGCGGAGGAACAUGUGGUUUAAUUCGAUGAUACGCGAGGAACCUUACCCGGGCUCAAACGGGGGGCGCGGGCGGCAGAGACGCCGCCGUCCUUAUGGACGUCCCCCGAGGUGCUGCAUGGUUGUCGUCAGCUCGUGCCGUGAGGUGUCGGAUUAAGUUCCAUAACGAGCGCAACCCCCGCGCGCAGUUGCUAACGGGUCAGGCCGAGGACUCUGCGCGGACUGCCGGCGCAAGCCGCGAGGAAGGCGGGGACGACGUCAAAUCAGCACGGCCCUUACGUCCGGGGCGACACACGUGUUACAAUGGGGGGUACAGCGGGAAGCCAGGCGGCGACGCCGAGCGGAACCCGAAAGCCCCUCCCAGUUCGGAUCGGAGCCUGCAACCCGGCUCCGUGAAGCUGGAUUCGCUAGUAAUCGCGCAUCAGCCAUGGCGCGGUGAAUACGUUCCCGGGCCUUGUACAAACCGCCCGUCAAG
rnacentral:rRNA from 1 species